AAGAAGUUAUGCUAUAAUUGUGGUGAAACAGGACAUUCACUGGCUAAUUGUCCAGAACCCCUUCAAGAUGGGGGAACUAAGUUCGCCAGUUGUUUUAUUUGUAAUGAAAGCGGACACUUAAGCAAGAAUUGUCCGAAGAAUACUCAUGGGAUCUAUCCUAAGGGUGGUUGUUGUAAAACUUGUGGGGAAGUCACACAUUUAGCUAAGGAUUGUCCAAACAAAGGCAACCAAGUGUUUGAUAGGGCUGGUGUAUCUGGUUAUAGAACAUCUGGAUAUGUGGAAAUGCCGAGACGACAAGUGACGAAACUCGUCAGUGGUGAUGAUCUCGAGGAUGACUUCAUGAUCAAUGAAGAUCAUUUGCAAAU
rnacentral:misc_RNA from 1 species